rnacentral:rRNA from 1 species
CAGCCGCCGCGGUAAUACAGAGGGUGCGAGCGUUAAUCGGAUUUACUGGGCGUAAAGCGUGCGUAGGCGGCUUCUUAAGUCGGAUGUGAAAUCCCUGAGCUUAACUUAGGAAUUGCAUUCGAUACUGGGAAGCUAGAGUAUGGGAGAGGAUGGUAGAAUUCCAGGUGUAGCGGUGAAAUGCGUAUAGAUCUGGAGGAAUACCGAUGGCGAAGGCAGCCAUCUGGCCUAAUACUGACGCUGAGGUACGAAAGCAUGGGGAGCAAACAGGAUUAGAUACCCGCGUAGUCCCUGUCUCUUAUAC